GUGCUCCUUUGGGCAGCACAUAUACUAAAUAUAGAUAUACGAUAUAGAGAAGAUUAGCAUGGCUCCUGCACAAGGAUGACACACAAAUUCAUGAAGCUUCCAUAUUCCCC
ensembl:snRNA U6 U6 spliceosomal RNA